rnacentral:lncRNA from 1 species
GCUCCUCCAACCCCUGCAAGAACAACGGUAGGUGUGAAAACAGAGGGAGGAACUUCAGCUGUCUCUGCCCCAGGCCAUAUGCUGGGAACACGUGUGAGAGAGUGGAGGACACAUGUCUGGAGAAGAGAUGCCACAGAGGAGACUGCCUGCUUACAUCAACUCCACCUUAUUUUAAGUGCAGCUGCAAUCAUCCUUACAAGAAACCUGACUGCCAACGAGCAUCUUCACCGUGCAGACCAAACCCUUGCAAAAACGGAGGUGUCUGCGUUCGGC